ACGAACGCUGGCGGCGUGCUUAACACAUGCAAGUCGAACGGAAAGGCCCUGCUUUUGUGGGGUGCUCGAGUGGCGAACGGGUGAGUAACACGUGAGUAACCUGCCCUUGACUUUGGGAUAACUUCAGGAGACUGGGGCUAAUACCGGAUAGGAGCUCCUGCUGCAUGGUGGGGGUUGGAAAGUUUCGGCGGUUGGGGAUGGACUCGCGGCUUAUCAGCUUGUUGGUGGGGUAGUGGCUUACCAAGGCUUUGACGGGUAGCCGGCCUGAGAGGGUGACCGGCCACAUUGGGACUGAGAUACGGCCCAGACUCCUACGGGAGGCAGCAGUGGGGAAUAUUGCACAAUGGGCGGAAGCCUGAUGCAGCAACGCCGCGUGCGGGAUGACGGCCUUCGGGUUGUAAACCGCUUUCGCCUGUGACGAAGCGUGAGUGACGGUAAUGGGUAAAGAAGCACCGGCUAACUACGUG
rnacentral:rRNA from 1 species